GUGCCCGGCUGGUAGCCGAUGUUGCCGACCGGGGUCAGCCCGGACAGGUGGCUCAGCAGCUGCCGGGCCGUGAUCACGACCCCGCCGGGCACCC
rnacentral:tRNA from 1 species